UACGGAGGAUGCAAGCGUUAUCCGGAAUUAUUGGGCGUAAAGCGUCCGCAGGUGGUUAUCCAAGUCUGCUGUUAAAGCGCGAGGCUUAACUUCGUACAGGCAGUGGAAACUGGGUGACUGGAGUAUGGUAGGGUAGCGGGAAUUCCCAGUGUAGCGGUGAAAUGCGUAGAUAUUGGGAAGAACACCAGCGGCGAAAGCGCGCUACGUGGGCCAUUACUGACACUCAUGGACGAAAGCUAGGGGAGCGAAAGGG
rnacentral:rRNA from 1 species